UGUUGUCCAUAUACCAACCAAACCGUGGUACGAAUAAACAUGAACUGAUCUCAAGCAGAUAUCUUCCCCAAGAGUCUGCAUCGACGAAAAGGUUUGUCACGUCGAUGUCGGCUCUUUGCCGCCUAGAGCUGUAUGCGGUUUCAAGGGUUGGACUGUUCGCCCAUUAAAGACUUGUUCGGUUAUGCGUGAAUUGAGAGAGAUUGGAGAAGAUUAAAUCAGUCUCUAGUCAAAAUUUAAUAGAAUCCCCUCAAUUCACUUCAGUCUAGAUGUAAAUGAACAAGACCUAGUAUGGUACGUGAGCUGGUUCAGAACAUCGUGAGACAGUUCGGUCCAUAUCCGGUGUGGGCGUUAGAGCAUUGAGAUGACCUUUCCUUAGUACGAGAGGAUCGGGAAGGACACACCUCUGGUGUACUAGUUAUGGUGCCUACGAUAAACACUAGGCAGCAAAGUAUGGAGAGGAUAACUGCUGAAAGCAUAUGAGUAGUAAGCUCAUCCCAAGAUGAGUGCUCUCCUCCGACUUCUCUAGAGUCUCCGGUAGACAU
rnacentral:ncRNA from 1 species